CAAAAACAAUGUGUUACAGCACAGUUAGAUAAACCACCUCCUAAGAAACGAGGACGCAAAYGUCGAAUUGAURAGCUUCAAGAGCCUUAUAGAUGUUUCACAUCAGUGAACAAAAAUCAAUAUAAAUCACACAAAAAAAUAAAAAGAGAAGAUGUAAAAAGAAAGAUCAGAGAAGAUAAUGAAAGAAAGAAAAACGAUGAAGAAAUAGAUGAACAGAGAACAUAUUAUUUAAAACUUGAAGGAGUGUCCGAAAAGGAUUUUGAGGACUUUUACUUCGAAAAAUUAAAUUAGAAAUCGAUCUAUCACACGACCAAAAUCAAAUGUAUAUAUAGCACAGUUAGAUAAACAACCUACUAAGAAACGAGGAUGCWAACGUCGAAUUGAUGAGCUUCAAGAGCUCAAUAGGAAAAACAGUUACACUUGGCCCAGUUCAACCACAGAUCAGCCGCUUGGGGUGGACAAGUGAGAUUAGUUUUUAGAUUAUUUU